AAUGCACUGAGCGUCUCCAUCAUGAGCAGUAUGAAGGCAGUGGCAAAGGCAAAAACUGCAAGCCCCACUAACCGGAUGAUGAUAUUAUCAUACCCCCAAGCAAGGAGGAGGACUUUCUCAUAGAAAACAGUAGACAACUCGGAAUGCGCCAAACUCAAAGCCCAAAGCCGAAGGUAUGAUGCCGUAUUUGAGACUGCACCUAGAACGAACUCUAUGGAGUGUAUCAUUUGGUGCACAAACACCUCACUGAAAUUAAAAUCGUCAUGAUGUGAUCGUGCAGAACCAGGCUCCAUAUCAAGAUCCAUCUCAGAGGUGCCAAGAAUCCCAUAAGUGCGGCCUUGAAAUCUCUCGGUAUGAAGUUUCUUCAAAAUAAAAGGUUUAGGGAGUAACAUCCAUGGAACUGCAAUUAAUGCCAAAAGCAACAACAGGAUCUGCAAUGGUCUCUGGCCCCAAAACAACUGAUUCUCACCAAGAUCAUCAGUGGGACUUAAAAACAUGUAAAUCAUCACAUGAUAAAGGUCUGCCUGAGAACCAGAGCACCACUUGAUGAUAAUAAGGAGUGAAAGGUACCCAAAAAGGCAGUUCAAGAAGAUUAUCUGCGGCACAAACUGAUACCUUAUAUCUAGCGAGUUGCCAAAAAAGCGUGCGUUGAAAUAACUUAAUAUGAUUCCUAGGUUCAUCUGGGCCACACCCAACAAUAUAGACAUCUUCAUCUUGAGAGAGUUCAAAAAAGGCAGUUCUGAACGACUUCCACGCCAACUGGGAUCCACACCAAAUGGGUAUGGAUCUCGGUAUUUCAUUAAACCAGCUAUUUGUGCAUCACUGCAAGUGGUGUCUCGGCAUUUGUAAGCAGACCCACCAAAUAUGUGAAAAGGAACAGAAAAGAAUUCAUUGUAAAUCAGCCCACAGUAAAUUGAAAAAAGUGCCAUUAGGAGGAGUACAUAGCGCCCACCAAAAAGCAUCUCCAUAAAGCUCCCAAGUUUCUGAGAACUGAGCUUGCUUUCCCGAGCUAUAAGUAUUAAUGCUCCCAUAAGUAAGCAUAUUCCAUGGCCCCAAUCCCCAAACAUUACCGCAAAAAGAAAUGGGAAGGUAACAACUGUGUAAACUGCAGGAUUUGCUUCUUCAUAUCUAGCAACACCAUAUGCAUCAACAAUUUCCUGAAAUGCAUUUGUGAAACGAUUUGUUCUGAAAUAUGUAGGAGGUGAUUCCAAAGCAUCCAUCACAUGAAAAAUUAUGCCCACUUGUGAAUUGCUAUCAAAUGUUGCACGUUGCAGUGUCUCCUGAAUCUGAGCUUUCGCAAAUGAAGGGCACCAGCCCUCUCCAACAAGACAUUUUUUUGUGACAUCAAAAUUCAGCAUAUUCAAAGUAUCAUAUACAGCUUUUUCCCUCUUUACCAUGUUCAUCCAUUUUGUUAGUUGGUACCCAAUGGAAGCAAGGGCUUUAUUUCGGUGGCGAAUUCCAGCAUCCAAUGUGGCUUCCAAUUCAGAAAGACGUGACAAAACUUCUCUAGUUAUUUGCCUCUGUUUAGUUAUAUCUUCAGGGACAGGAUAGCAAUUUGCACCAAAUGCUUCACAAAUUUUUAAAAUUUUUGUUCUUGCCUGUUCACCUGAGAAAAAGACUACAAAUACAGUUUUUUCAACCAUUUCAGUUGACACAGGAUCCAUGAUCUCUUCAUCAGCCGGUGCCUGAUUGAAAAGCAUAUUGCCCCUUGUAGCACGAAAUAGCAUUCUCUCAAAUCUCAGAACUUUGGAUCUAGGUAUAAUACCACUGAUAAAUCUCAAACCAGAUUGGUUCGAUGGUACAGACCUCAGUUCCUUUUCAAGAAAUGAGGUUGUUUCACCAUAAUCAUCAUUUGAGUACACAUUUUCAUUUAAUUCUGUUUCCUCUGCAACUGCAUGACUAUUAC
rnacentral:misc_RNA from 1 species